UAUAUAAGUAACAAUUAUAAAAUCAUGAAAUUAUAUAUAUUUAUUAUAAAUUACAUUAAUUUUAAUGCCUGGUUGAUAUUUGUUUUGACAAAUAAUAAUCUUUUCAUCAUCUUAAACAUCUUUCAGAAAAUUAGAUUUACCAAAAUUAAAUUUUGUGGUUUCUUCUACUUUUGUUUUAGAGACAAGAUUGUUGUCUUAGAAAACAGGAGAAAAGAUUUGAACAAACAUCGGAACCGUUUAAGUACAAAUUUGGUUUUAAAAAGAGGAGGUAUUUGAUAUAAGUCAAAACAAUUGUGAAGAUAUUAUUAUGAUAGAUAAAACUAAAGAUUUAAAAACUAGAAAAGAAGAUGUAGAUUUUCAUAACGACCAGAAAGGAGCGUGUGUUCAGAAAAUGUUAGGUCAAGAUAAAAUUUCACAAAAAAUUGUAAAAAACAAAACAAAAAGAGAAAUAAAAAAAACAAAAAAUCAAAGAACAAAAGAGCCCAUGAGAAAACAGAAAGAGUUGGUUACUGAGAACUUUGAAAACACAACAGAAAUUUUAAAUACUUUCAAUAAUGACCAAGAUGAACAGUAUCUACAGCCUUCUAGAAAAGUUAAAAAAAUCUAAUGCUGUAGCUCUUAUUGUUCCAAAAAAUAUAGGAAAAUAUUUAGCUCCAACAGCAUCAGGAUAUGGAAUAAGUUCUACUGCACUGAGUGCAACUCUCGCUUCUCUAAUAAAUAACAGUUCUGGAACAAUAGAUAAUUUUUGUAUAUCUAAACGAAGUAUUUUGAGACAGAAAAAAUUAAGUAUAAGUAAAACUGCCUGUAAAAUUAAAGACAACUUUAUUAUAUUGGUUAAGGAUAAAAAUCUUACUGUACAUUUUGAUUCGAAAAUUAUGGUAAAAAUGAAAGAACUUGGUAAAGAAAAAGUUAAAAGAGUAGCUGUACUAAUCAGUUCACCAGAUCUUUUAGAAUCACAACUUUUGGGUAUUUUAAUUGUGAAAGAUGGCACUGCUGAGUCUCUUGAAAAAGCAAUUAAAAAAACUUUUUAAGACUGGGAGCUAUUUGACUAUGUUGAUUGUCUGUCCUUUGACACCACAGUCACAAAUACUGGUUGGCUAAAAGGGGUCUGUACUCUAAUUGAGCAGUGGAGAGGAAAAGCUUUGUUUUGGAUGGCUUGUCGUCAUCAUGUCUAUGAAUUACAUAUAAAGCACUUUUCAAGUGUUCUUACUGGUGGUAAAACAAGCGGACCAAAGGCUGAGUUAUUUGAAAGACUGAAGUGUAAUUGGAAAUUGAUUCUUGAAAAAAAAGAUAAACUAUGAUAACCUAAAGAGAUUUGACUCAGAAAAAAAAUUAGUAUCUUUUUUGGAAAAACAGGCUUCUGAAUCAUUAACAUUCCUUCAAAUUUGCCUUGAUAAUGAUAUGUUUCCAAGAAAUGACUACAAGUAUUUUAUACAAUUAGCAGUUCUUUGGUUAGGUGGUAAAGUAAAAAAUUUUCACUUUAGAUUUCCAAUGGCUUCGCAUCAUGCCAGCUUUAUGGCACAGGGAGUUUAUUUUUUAACAUAUGACCUUCUUCAGCGACAAUUCAGUAACUUAUGUUCUAAUAUAAUAUCAUUGCAAGAGGGAAAGCUGAUUCAUGAAAUUGAUUCAUUUACAGCACUAUUUUAUGUUACAUGGUUUAUUAGAGCUCCUUUCCCUGCCAUAGCACCUUCUUUAGAUCUAAAAGCUGUUUUUUUUUUUUUUUUUUUUUUAUUUGCCCUUACUCCCAACAA